rnacentral:rRNA from 1 species
GAUGAACGCUAGCGGCAGGCUUAAUACAUGCAAGUCGUGGGGCAGCAUGGGGUAGCAAUACUCUGAUGGCGACCGGCAAACGGGUGCGGAACACGUACGCAACCUUCCCAAAACUGGUGAAUAGCCCUCCGAAAGGAGGAUUAAUACACCGUAACAUAACGAAGUGGCAUCACUUUGUUAUUAUAGCUCCGGCGGUUUUGGAUGGGCGUGCGCCUGAUUAGGUAGUUGGCGGGGUAACGGCCCACCAAGCCUACGAUCAGUAACUGGUGUGAGAGCACGACCAGUCACACGGGCACUGAGACACGGGCCCGACUCCUACGGGAGGCAGCAGUAAGGAAUAUUGGUCAAUGGACGCAAGUCUGAACCAGCCAUGCCGCGUGAAGGAUGAAGGUCCUCUGGAUUGUAAACUUCUUUUAUCUGGGACGAAAAAAGGGCUUUCUAGCUCACUUGACGGUACCAGAGGAAUAAGCACCGGCUAACUCCGUGCCAGCAGCCGCGGUAAU